UACCUCGUUUGCCGUACAUUGUAUUAGCUUCCGUCAAUAUUCCUGUUAUGAAAAUAAUUAUUCAUGCGAGGGCCGGGCAAGGAAGCGGCACAGAUUCGUUUCAUGUUUUGUUGAUUUAACGCUUUCGAUAAACAAGCGAAGUUUGGGGAUAAAAAUGACUGUAGAAUAGCUAGUCAGCCAGUGCCGGAUCACGGAGUUAGUUGGCGACUUCGUAUUUUCUAAGUUCAAACAUGAAACACGUCGUUUUUGUGGGUGUAAGCAUGCUGGUUGUAGCGGUUAUUCUAGAGGCGCACUUCACAAAAGCGUUCUUCUAUUUGAAAAGAAAAAAAACUGAUGGCAAGCGAGGCCUGGCGGCGGCGAUUUUCAAGGAAGGGAGGAGAGCCCAUAAUAUCCCCGUCAGGAUAUCUAUCCCAGUGGUGGAAGAGACGGACUGGGGCCCACCAAGGGAGAAGGAGUCUAGACCAUGGUGGUCUUGAAUGGGAGAAGUGAAACUGAAAAAAAAAACCCUAGGAUGAAUACUACACAUGGUGGGAGCCAUAACAGAGAGAUAUGGAUAAGGACGUGCAAAGACAAAAAGAAUUCGUGAACAACACACCUUUUUCUCUUGUAAUUCUAUUUUAAAUAGAAUGAUAGCAUCAUUAAAUUUUGGAAAUAAGGAAAUAUUAUUUCCAUCUAAAGUCACAGUGCUUUUUGUGAAAUAAAACAUAUGAA